UACGUAGGGUCCGAGCGUUGUCCGGAAUUACUGGGCGUAAAGCGCGCGCAGGCGGCCCGCGAGGUGUCACGUGAAAGCCCCGGGCUCAACCCGGGAGGGUCGUGGCAAACCGGCGGGCUUGAGGCCGGUAGAGGAGGGUGGAACUCCUGGUGGAGUGGUGAAAUGCGUAGAGAUCAGGAAGAACACCCGUGGCGAAGGCGGCCCACUGGGCCGGUACUGACGCUGAGGCGCGAAGGCGUGGGGAGCGAACGGG
rnacentral:rRNA from 1 species